rnacentral:rRNA from 1 species
GGCCCGUAUCGGGGUACACGAGUGGCGAACGGGUGAGUAACACGUGGGUAAUCUGCCCUGCACAUCGGGAUAAGCCUGGGAAACUGGGUCUAAUACCGAAUAGGACCACAGAACACAUGUCCUGUGGUGGAAAGCUUUUGCGGUGUGGGAUGGGCCCGCGGCCUAUCAGCUUGUUGGUGGGGUGAUGGCCUACCAAGGCGACGACGGGUAGCCGGCCUGAGAGGGUGUCCGGCCACACUGGGACUGAGAUACGGCCCAGACUCCUACGGGAGGCAGCAGUGGGGAAUAUUGCACAAUGGGCGAAAGCCUGAUGCAGCGACGCCGCGUGGGGGAUGACGGCCUUCGGGUUGUAAACCUCUUUCACCAUCGACGAAGGUCCGGGUUUUCUCGGGCUGACGGUAGGUGGAGAAGAAGCACCGGCCAACUACGUGCCAGCAGCCGCGGUAAUACGUAGGGUGCGAGCGUUGUCCGGAAUUACUGGGCGUAAAGAGCUCGUAGGUGGUUUGUCGCGUUGUUCGUGAAAUCUCACGGCUUAACUGUGAGCGUGCGGGCGAUACGGGCAGACUUGAGUACUGCAGGGGAGACUGGAAUUCCUGGUGUAGCGGUGGAAUGCGCAGAUAUCAGGAGGAACACCGGUGGCGAAGGCGGGUCUCUGGGCAGUAACUGACGCUGAGGAGCGAAAGCGUGGGGAGCGAACAGGAUUAGAUACCCUGGUAGUCCACGCCGUAAACGGUGGGUACUAGGUGUGGGUUUCCUUCCUUGGGAUCCGUGCCGUAGCUAACGCAUUAAGUACCCCGCCUGGGGAGUACGGCCGCAAGGCUAAAACUCAAAGAAAUUGACGGGGGCCCGCACAAGCGGCGGAGCAUGUGGAUUAAUUCGAUGCAACGCGAAGAACCUUACCUGGGUUUGACAUGCACAGGACGCCGGCAGAGAUGU